rnacentral:misc_RNA from 1 species
UGCAUCGUGUGUUUGAUCGUCUGUUAUUUCUUUAUUAUCUAUACAUGUAGCCAUGAUUCAAAGCAUAAAUAAGGUUUGUGCAUACCGAAUCAGUUUUCGCGUGCGAAACAAUGAAACAACUUCUACGUUCUGCAGAUGAGGUAGUAGCUCAGAUCCGUCCCGCCUGCCGCGCGGUGAGCCCAUGGGUCUUCAUGCUCACCUUUCGUCGAGCACCUCGGUUACAUCAGAAUCGCCAACCAUGUCCUCAGAUGGUGCGCUCCCACGAGCGCGCGGAGGACGCAGCCCAGGCGGCGGCGGUUGAGCCAGCGGGUGAGGGCCUCUGCUGCUGCCGUCCUCGCGACGGAGGAGUCCGUCGUUGCCUUGACCAGUUUGGGCCGCCCAUCGGCCAUCACCGCCGCAGCAGGAUCCGCGUCGUCGACUCGAGACGAGUAGA